rnacentral:rRNA from 1 species
AGUGAACGCUGGCGGUAGGCCUAACACAUGCAAGUCGAACGGCAGCACAGUAAGAGCUUGCUCUUACGGGUGGCGAGUGGCGGACGGGUGAGGAAUACAUCGGAAUCUACUUUUUCGUGGGGGAUAACGUAGGGAAACUGACGCUAAUACCGCAUACGACCUACGGGUGAAAGCAGGGGAUCUUCGUACCUUGCGCGAUUGAAUGAGCCGAUGUCGGAUUAGCUAGUUGGCGGGGUAAAGGCCCACCAAGGCGACGAUCCGUAGCUGGUCUGAGAGGAUGAUCAGCCACACUGGAACUGAGACACGGUCCAGACUCCUACGGGAGGCAGCAGUGGGGAAUAUUGGACAAUGGGCGCAAGCCUGAUCAAGCCAUACCGCGUGGGUGAAGAAGGCCUUCGGGUUGUAAAGCCCUUUUGUAGGGAAAGAAAAGCAGCAGGUUAAUACCCCGCUGUUCUGACGGUACCCAAAGAAUAAGCACCGGCUAACUUCGUG